GACGAACGCUGGCGGCGUGCUUAACACAUGCAAGUCGAACGGAAAGGCCCUGCUUUUGUGGGGUGCUCGAGUGGCGAACGGGUGAGUAACACGUGAGUAACCUGCCCCUGACUUUGGGAUAACUUCAGGAAACUGGGGCUAAUACCGGAUAGGAGCUCCUGCUGCAUGGGGGGGGUUGGAAAGUUUCGGCGGUUGGGGAUGGACUCGCGGCUUAUCAGCUUGUUGGUGGGGUAGUGGCUUACCAAGGCUUUGACGGGUAGCCCGCCUGAGAGGGUGACCGGCCACAAUGGGACUGAGAUACGACGCAGUCUCCUACGGGAGGCAGCAGUGGGGAAUAUUGCACAAUGGGCGCACGCCUGAUGCAGCAACGCCGCGUGCGGGAUGACCGCCUUCGGGUUGUAAACCGAUUUCGCCUGUGACGAAGCGUGAUUGACGGUAAUGGAUAAAAAAGCACCGGCUAACUACGUG
rnacentral:rRNA from 1 species